UCAAAAACAUUGCUUUAUGCUUAGCGAUAUAAAGUAACUCCUGCCCGGUGAGAUAUUAAACGGCCGCGGUAUCCUAACCGUGCAAAGGUAGCAUAAUAAUUUGCCUUGUAAUUUAAGGCUAGAAUGAAUGGAUUAACGAGAAAUAAGCUGUCUCAGAUAGUUUACAAAAAAUUAAAAUACUGGUGAAGAUGCCAGUGUAAAAAUAAAGGACAAAAAGACCCUAUAAAGCUUGACUGAAAAAUUAAAACACCCUUUUAAAUAAAGUAAAAAAAUAAUUAAGUUUUGUUGGGGCGACAAAGGAAUUUAUAAACCUCCUUAUAUAAAAAGAUUUUAAAUCAAAAAAAUUAAAACUAAAAAGUAUUAUAAUAAAAGCUACUUUAGGGAUAACAGGCUAAUCUUUCUAAAGAGUUCACAUUGACAGAAAGGAUUGGCACCUCGAUGUUGGCUUAGGGAGUCCCUCAGGCGCAGCAACUUGAGAAGGCUGGUUUGUUCAACCAUUAAACCCCUACGUGAUCUGA
rnacentral:rRNA from 1 species